rnacentral:rRNA from 1 species
GACAGAAUCCUCGAGCGUUACCCGGAUUUAUUGGGCGUAAAGGGUCCGUAGGUGGCGCAGUAAGUUGAAAGUUAAAACUCAUCGGCUUAACCUUUGAGGUGCUUUCAAUACUGCUGCGCUUGAGGGCGUUAGGGGUUAGCGGAACCGACGGAGUAGGGGUGAAAUCCGUUGAUAUCGUCGGGAACACCAAAAGCGAAGGCAGCUAACUAGGACGACCCUGACACUGAGGGACGAAAGCGUGGGUA